CGUCUGCUGCUGAUUGAACAACGUUUGUCGUUCUGCCGUGGCCGUCACGUCAAACUUGAAAAUUUUAUUGAAAUUGUGCAUGUGAGUGCAUUUGCGGAUCUGAAAAAAUGUUAACUAGGAUUUUACUUGUUAAAUAAGUGUCAUAUGGAAGAUGUUGAUUUCAAAAUUUAUGACUGAUUACAGUGAGAAGGACAUUCCAUUUCAGCACGUGAUGUCUGCACGUGAUUGAUCCUGUUCGAAAUAUACUACCUGGCAUAUUCGAUCUAAUGUAACUCGCCGAUUCAUUGGUGGAGGAAGGCGUAGGAAGGAACAGGAAACAGUGGCUACAAGUACUAGCCUACCAUCAAUUCUUUCAGUAGAAAUCAUUGUUUUGCAGAAUGCAUCAUCCAGUUAAUACAGGUUUAUUGCAGCAACUUUUGGGAAGUUACAGUUACACCAUGGUCACCCCAUAAGAUGCAUGACACAUACCAACUUGUGGUGUAUUCAUCUGAUUUUUACUCAAGCAGUAAAUUCAACAUGACUGUUUGAUGCCAAAGUUAGUUGGAACUCUAACUCAAACACCAAUAACCGUUGCUGCUGCUGCCUUACAGCCACAGACAGGAAAAUUAUUCUUUUCUUCAGGAAAUUGGAAAGCUGCUGGAGUAAUCUGGUGUUGAUACUCAUUUGAUUCAUUUCCUGCCAGCUAGUGAAAGCCGGAAGGCAUGUCGAAUUCAAUUGAGCUACUGCGUGCUGUCUCGAAGCAAGCAAUCCAGCCGUUGCGUUCAGUCAUUUCAUUUGGAACAGGAAUCUAAUGGCUGUCAAUAGUUGGCUGAAAUGUCCACCAGGUAGCGCGAGUGUCUCCAGGGAGGCAGGGACGCAUUUCGGCCAUUUUGUUCCAAGACGCAGCAGAAAUUGGUUGUCGGUUGUGACGUUUUUCACGAUGAAAAUUAAAAGGUGAUUUAGCACGUUUAACCAAUUUGCUAAAUCAUUCAACCCAGACUUGGAAGUGCCUGUACAUUGCCGAAAUGGCGUGCCUCGUGUGUCUCGCUGCCUGUUCUUAGGCGUACGUCUCAUCCCAUGCAACAGCAAAAAGUAUAACAACAACACUUCUGUAACACUGUUGGUUACCUUGUUGCAGCCAAAUGGUGAAAGGUGUGGUGAACACAGAAUGAACCAUUGUAUGCAGCAUGCGGUUGCAGUGUAAUCCAGAAGUUGCUGUGCUGUUGUAGCUGAUCUGUUCCGUCUGGUUUCCUGACUUCAAAAUUUUUGUGUUGUUGUUUUUGUUUUUGACUUGAAAGUGUUUGAUCUGUCGUCUUUUGAGUUUUCAUUGAAUCAUGCAGUAUACGACUGAGGCAGCCUGAUCAAUGUCGGGUUUGACACAGUCGAGAAUUGCUAGAUCAAACAAGCUUUCUGCGCCAAACAAAUAAUAAUUUGCAUAUAACUUGCAUCAUGUUAUUAUCGCGGUAGAGAAAGCGACAGGCCCCCCCCCCCUGGGGGCCACAGGAAAAA